CUUUUCGUGUCCCAACAAGCUGAUCCAUCUUUCCAUCUGAUGUAGCGACAUUUGUUGUGGCAGAAGCUGGGUCGGAGACUCUCUGUCCAUUCUGGGUUUCCACCUUUGAAGGUUGAGGCAUCUUUGAACGCAGCAAGUGAACGUGGCAAAAAUCAAAAAAUGUUUCUGCGUGCAACAAUGACAAGUCUUACCAAGUGUUACUGAAACUGCAAUCGAGUGGGCUGGUUUUUGAGAUAUCCGCUACCCAUUUUCAAUAAAAGCGAAACAGUGUGGCAUUAUUCUCAAAAUUUAUCAAAUUAAUAUUCUUAAAUCGCAAUUUUUAAAUUACGCUUGCUAUUGUAUUUUUUUUCGAUUUGGAAGCCAACUUGACCAGCGUGUAACAAUAAUAAGUGCUAUCAAAAAUAA